GUGUUUGAAAAGCUAUGAGAAAAAAAAAUAACAAAAAAUUGAAGCAGUUGCAAGUGUUGGAGAAGCUUGAUCCACAGUGUCACGCAAUGAAACAGUUUGAAAUCCAAGUUCCAAGGUUCUGUUCCUUUACAUACACACUUCAAGCACUGUUUGCUCUUAAAAUGAAGCAUAUACAAAUCACAAUCAAUAAAAUAGCUGCUUCAACACAAUUGUACCUUAAAAAAAAUGCUCCCCCAUGGUAGAGAAGAUGCCAUCUAUGUCAAAUUACAAAAAGAAAAUA
rnacentral:misc_RNA from 1 species